CAUUGGUUUGGCAGCUCAUGAGA
rnacentral:misc_RNA from 1 species